rnacentral:rRNA from 1 species
AUUGAACGCUGGCGGCAUGCCUUACACAUGCAAGUCGAACGGCAGCACGGGAGCAAUCCUGGUGGCGAGUGGCGAACGGGUGAGUAAUAUAUCGGAACGUGCCCAGUCGUGGGGAUAACGUAGCGAAAGCUACGCUAAUACCGCAUACGAUCUAUGGAUGAAAGCGGGGGAUCGCAAGACCUCGCGCGAUUGGAGCGGCCGAUAUCAGAUUAGGUAGUUGGUGAGGUAAAGGCUCACCAAGCCAACGAUCUGUAGCUGGUCUGAGAGGACGACCAGCCACACUGGAACUGAGACACGGUCCAGACUCCUACGGGAGGCAGCAGUGGGGAAUUUUGGACAAUGGGCGAAAGCCUGAUCCAGCAAUGCCGCGUGAGUGAUGAAGGCCUUAGGGUUGUAAAGCUCUUUUUACCCGAGAUGAUAAUGACAGUAUCGGGAGAAUAAGCUCCGGCUAACUCCGUGCCAGCAGCCGCGGUAA